UAUAGGGGUAAAUUCAGUAAAUAAAUAUACGUCAUCAGGGACCGCCCAUUUAGGGGAGAGCUUUCUGUAUAACACUGAAGUUAUAUGCUCUUCUGAUUGGCAGAUAAUGUUUGUAAUAAAUAUUUUUUGGUAGAUGGAUCAAAACUAGAGUUGAAAAAAAAUAAAAAAUAUAUGCUGAAUGUACUAAUUUUUUCCCCUUCAGGGUUGAAAAGUAAUGGGGUCAGUAUAGGAAUUCAGUGCGAAUCUACAUUGUUUGUAAACAAGGCCAUGUGAAUGCCCAAAAAUGCCGCAUGACCCUAUGUUUUUAUUGUUGCAAAAGAUAGGGCUACAUUUGUACUUUCAUGAAUGAUAUAUGAAAGAUUUUAAUUUCUAAAGGUAAAUCAGGUAUAAAUUUAUUUCCACACAUAGAUUAGCAUUAUAGUCAAUGGGAGAUUUUUUACUGAAUUUACCCCU
rnacentral:lncRNA from 1 species